GCUGAGGGUGAGGGUGUGUGAGGGUGAGGUUGUGUUAGGCUGAGGGUGAGGGUGUGUGAGGGUGAGGUUGUGUUAGGCUGAGGGUGAGGGUGUGUGAGGGUGAGGUUGUGUUAGGUUGAGGAUGAGGGUGUGUGAGGGUGAGGUUGUGUUAGGCUGAGGGUGAGGGUGUGUGAGGGUGAGGUUGUGUUAGGUUGAGGAUGAGGGUGUGUGAGGGUGAGGUUGUGUUAGGCUGAGGGUGAGGGUGUGUGAGGGUGAGGUUGUGUUAGGCUGAGGGUGAGGGUGUGUGAGGGUGAGGUUGUGUUAGGUUGAGGGUGAGGGGAGUGUGAGGGUGUGAGAGACGCUGAUGAUUGGGGAGCGAGUUGGGAACCAGUCUCUCUUAAUUGCAUCGACUUCCUCGAUGCAAUCAACUGGGAACCGGUCAGAUCCCACGACGGGACCCCUCAGAUCUGUGUUUGUGUGUCCCAAGACGACAGGACGUUGUCAGCAGUUACGUCAUCAUCGCAUGCGUCAGUGGAUUGUUUUUUUAAGGAGAGCAGCUCCACUUCCUCCCGUGUUCCUCCUCACUCCCUCCUCC
ensembl:lncRNA